UUUAUUGGAGAGUUUGAUCCUGGCUCAGGAUGAACGCUGGCGGCGUGCCUAAUACAUGCAAGUCGAGCGAAUGGAUUAAGAGCUUGCUCUUAUGAAGUUAGCGGCGGACGGGUGAGUAACACGUGGGUAACCUGCCCAUAAGACUGGGAUAACUCCGGGAAACCGGGGCUAAUACCGGAUAACAUUUUGAAUCGCAUGGUUCGAAAUUGAAAGGCGGCUUCGGCUGUCACUUAUGGAUGGACCCGCGUCGCAUUAGCUAGUUGGUGAGGUAACGGCUCACCAAGGCAACGAUGCGUAGCCGACCUGAGAGGGUGAUCGGCCACACUGGGACUGAGACACGGCCCAGACUCCUACGGGAGGCAGCAGUAGGGAAUCUUCCGCAAUGGACGAAAGUCUGACGGAGCAACGCCGCGUGAGUGAUGAAGGCUUUCGGGUCGUAAAACUCUGUUGUUAGG
rnacentral:rRNA from 1 species